rnacentral:rRNA from 1 species
CAAUACAAGGCAGACGGCUCAGUAACGCGUAGUCAACCUAACCUAUGGACGGGAAUAACCUCGGGAAACUGAGAAUAAUGCCCGAUAGAACAUUAUGCCUGGAAUGGUUUAUGUUCCAAAUGAUUUAUCGCCGUAGGAUGGGACUGCGGCCUAUCAGUUUGUUGGUGAGGUAAUGGCCCACCAAGACUAUUACAGGUACGGGCUCUGAGAGGAGUAGCCCGGAGAUGGGUACUGAGACACGGACCCAGGCCCUAUGGGGCGCAGCAGGCGAGAAAACUUUGCAAUGUGCGAAAGCACGACAAGGUUAAUCCGAGUGGUUUCUGCUAAAGGAACCUUUUGUCGGUCCUAGAAACACCGAUGAAUAAGGGAUGGGCAAGUUCUGGUGUCAGCCGCCGCGGUAAAACCAGCACCUCAAGUGGUCAGGAUGAUUAUUGGGCCUAAAGCAUCCGUAGCCUGCUUUGUUAGUUUUCGGUUAAAUCUGUACGCUCAACGUACAGGCUGCCGGGAAUACUACAAAGCUAGGGAGUGGGAGAGGUAGACGGUACUCGGUAGGAAGGGGUAAAAUCCUUUGAUCUAUUGAUGACCACCUGUGGCGAAGGCGGUCUACCAGAACACGUCCGACGGUGAGGGAUGAAAGCUGGGGGAGCAAACCGGAUUAGAUACCCGGGUAGUCCCAGCCGUAAACCAUGCAAACUCAGUGAUGCAUUGGCUUGUGGCCAAUGCAGUGUUGCAGGGAAGCCGUUAAGUUU